rnacentral:rRNA from 1 species
AUUGAACGCUGGCGGCAGGCUUAACACAUGCAAGUCGAGCGGGGUGAUGGUGCUUGCACUAUCACUUAGCGGCGGACGGGUGAGUAAUGCUUAGGAAUCUGCCUAUUAGUGGGGGACAACAUCUCGAAAGGGAUGCUAAUACCGCAUACGUCCUACGGGAGAAAGCAGGGGAUCACUUGUGACCUUGCGCUAAUAGAUGAGCCUAAGUCGGAUUAGCUAGUUGGUGGGGUAAAGGCCUACCAAGGCGACGAUCUGUAGCGGGUCUGAGAGGAUGAUCAGCCACACUGGGACUGAGACACGGCCCAGACUCCUACGGGAGGCAGCAGGGGGGAAUAUUGGACAAUGGGGGGAACCCUGAUCCAGCCAUGCCGCGUGUGUGAAGAAGGCCUUAUGGUUGUAAAGCACUUUAAGCGAGGAGGAGGCUCUUUUGGUUAAUACCCAAGAUGAGUGGACGUUACUCGCAGAAUAAGCACCGGCUAACUCUGUGCCAGCAGCCGCCGCAG